rnacentral:rRNA from 1 species
GCUAGAAGGUUAUCCUUUUAGCAUGCUUGUUUCAGUGUCUUUUUAUUUCCUAACCGAAAUCAUAAUGCGAGAGAUAUCCUUCUCUUGUUAAGCAUGAAAGCACUCUGCGCUCUGCGAGCGGCUUCGAUUCGUCGAGGGUCGCACUCAAUGCAGCAGUCACAUUGUUUACAGUGUGAACUCAUUGAGAGUAGAGGCAGUGCGGUGUAACAACUGCCAGUGCUUAGACNCUCAAACUUUUCUUGUAUCUGAANUCAAGCAGGAUCACCCGCUGAACUUAAGCAUAUCACUAAGCGGAGGAGAAGAAAUUAACUAAGAUUGCCUCAGUAACGGCGAGUGAAGCGGCAAAAGCCCAAACUGUAAAUCUUGUGCACUACGUGUACACGAAUUGUAAUCUAGAGAGAGUUCACUCAACGUGCGGGGGCGCAGAAGUGACCACUNAACGGUCCGCNAGAGAGGGUGAAAGCCCCGUAUGUGGUGUCCCUGCUUAACGAGUGGNUUUUCGAAGAGUCGGGUUGUUUUGUAUUGCA